GUCAAAGGGUAUUCUCGAGCAAUAAUAGAUUGCGGACUGACGCAUUUUUAUUAUCAACUCUGGAAUACCGUUUGAUC
ensembl:ncRNA C13B4.6 ncRNA